AGUUUGAAAGAUGGUUCUGCUAUCACUCUUGGAUGGACAUGCGGUGCAUUAGCUAGUUGGUAAGGUAUCGGAUUACCAAGGCAAUGAUGCAUAGCCGAGUUGAGAGACUGAUCGGCCACAUUGGGACUGAGACACGGCCCAAACUCGUACGGGAGGCAGCAGUAGGGAUAUCUUCCACAAUGGACGAAAGUGUGUUGGAGCAACGCCGCGUGAGCGAAGAAGGGUUUCGGCUCGUAAAGCUCUGUUGGUAGUGAAGAAAGAUAGUGGUAGUACCUGGCCUUUAUUUGACGGUAAUUACUCAGAAAGUCCCGGCUAACUACGUGCCAGCAGCCGCGGUAAUACGUAGGUGGCAAGCGUUGUCCGGAUUUAUUGGGUGUAAAGCGAGUGCAGGCGGUUCAAUAAGUCUGAUGUGAAAGCCUUGGGCUCAACCGGAGAAUUGCUUCAGAAACUGUCGAACUUGAGUGCAGAAGAGGAGAGUGGAAUUCCUUGUGUAGCGGUGGAAUGCGUAGAUAUAUGGAAGAACACCAGUGGCGAAGGCGGCUUUCUGGUCUGCAACUGACGUUGAGGCUCGAAAGCAUGGGUAGCGAACAGGAUUAGAUACCCUGGUAGUCCAUGCCGUAAACGAUGACUGCUAAGUGUUGGGAGGUUUCCGCCUCUCAGUGCAGCAGAUCAAGGACAAUAAGCACUCCAUAUGGGGAGUACGGGGGGAAGGGAGGUAGUCAAAGGAAGGUUCGGGGUCAGGCACAAUCGGUGGUACAUGUGGUUGAAAGAGAUGAUAAGAGAGGAACAUUUCCUGGGUUCAAAGGAGGGAUGGAAUCAUGGUUAAGGACGCAGUCCUAUAGUACAUCCGUCGAGGUGCUGCAGGAGUGUGGUCAGUGUGUCAGUCGAAGUGUGGCCGUAAGCCCUAUCAGGAGGGCAACCCAUGGUGGCAGUGGUGGACGGGUAGAGGGGCGGACUGUGUAUGGAACGCGGGCGCAUCCUGCGCCGAAGGAGGGGACAAAGGCAAAUCAGCAGGUCCUCUAUGUUAGGGGGGACACACGCGUAACAAUGGGGGGUAUAGCGGGAAGCCAGGCGGGGAGGCCGGGCGGAACUCGACAGCCUGUCUCAAAUAGGAUUGGAGUCGGCACACCGAAUCGGUAAAGCCGGAUCCGUUAGUAAUCGAGCAUCAGC
rnacentral:rRNA from 1 species